rnacentral:misc_RNA from 1 species
AGUCGUAACAAGGUUUCCGUAGGUGAACCUGCGGAAGGAUCAUUACCGAGUGCGGGCUGCCUCCGGGCGCCCAACCUCCCACCCGUGACUACCUAACACUGUUGCUUCGGCGGGGAGCCCCCCAGGGGGCGAGCCGCCGGGGACCACUGAACUUCAUGCCUGAGAGUGAUGCAGUCUGAGCCUGAAUACAAAUCAGUCAAAACUUUCAACAAUGGAUCUCUUGGUUCCGGCAUCGAUGAAGAACGCAGCGAACUGCGAUAAGUAAUGUGAAUUGCAGAAUUCAGUGAAUCAUCGAGUCUUUGAACGCACAUUGCGCCCCCUGGCAUUCCGGGGGGCAUGCCUGUCCGAGCGUCAUUGCUGCCCUCAAGCCCGGCUUGUGUGUUGGGUCGUCGUCCCCCCCCGGGGGACGGGCCCGAAAGGCAGCGGCGGCACCGUGUCCGGUCCUCGAGCGUAUGGGGCUUUGUCACCCGCUCGAUUAGGGCCGGCCGGGCGCCAGCCGGCGUCUCCAACCUUAUUUUUCUCAGGUUGACCUCGGAUCAGGUAGGGAUACCCGCUGAACUUAAGCAUAUCAAUAAGCGGAGGA